GAUGAACGCUGGCGGCGUGCUUAACACAUGCAAGUGGACCGAUGAUCCGGUGCUUGCACCCGGGUAUUAGUGGCGAACGGGUGAGUAACACGUGAGUAACCUGCCCUUAACUCUGGGAUAAGCCUGGGAAACUGGGUCUAAUACCGGAUAUGACUCCUCAUCGCAUGGUGGGGGGUGGAAAGCUUUAUUGUGGUUUUGGAUGGACUCGCGGCCUAUCAGCUUGUUGGUGAGGUAAUGGCUCACCAAGGCGACGACGGGUAGCCGGCCUGAGAGGGUGACCGGCCACACUGGGACUGAGACACGGCCCAGACUCCUACGGGAGGCAGCAGUGGGGAAUAUUGCACAAUGGGCGCAAGCCUGAUGCAGCGACGCCGCGUGAGGGAUGACGGCCUUCGGGUUGUAAACCUCUUUCAGUAGGGAAGAAGCGAAAGUGACGGUACCUGCAGGAGAAGCGCCGGCUAACUACGUGC
rnacentral:rRNA from 1 species